rnacentral:tRNA from 1 species
GUCGUUGUAGUAUAGUGGUGAGUAUCCCCGCCUGUCACGCGGGAGAACCCGGGUUCGAUCCCCGGCAACCGGCG